UUAAAAUAAAUGAGAUCUCAUGAGGUGUACAGUAAUCCAUAUGGGCCUAAAGUCCUAAUCCACAAACAAUCCUACUAUAAUUUGUUGAUAAAAAAACUAACCGAAAAAAGCAAAAGAGUGAGGGUGCGGUUGCAACCUUAUUACCAUCAUAUCUCAUAUCCCUUUUUUUAAAUAAAAACAAAUAGACUGCCUCUAACCACAAGCAGACAUAUGGAAAAAUGGUGGAAAAUAGACAAAGAAUAAAAGACAUAAUGUUGAUGCAACGAAAAAAAAUCUGGAAAAUACUCCCUUCCUCUCCAACGUAUUCACCGUGAAAACAAAAGAAAAUCAAAAGAGGGGGUGUAACACAUCUAAAUGCAUAUUUCAGAACCAGUGAAAAUCAAAUAACACAAUGAAAUGCAAUCCAUUAAACAAACCUAAUUCCAACUAUAAGAAAUCUAAUUAAUCCCCUAAUUCUGACACCGAGAUUUAUUUUCCAAAAGGGGCGUUACCAAUUGAGGUACUAGCGGUUGAAUCGAAGAAGUGAGGUCUCUGAUUUCUGGACAUCGUGGUUCCACUUUCAUAGCGGCAAAUGGAGGUGAAGUGUUGUAUGGUAGAGAAGACGGUGAUGAAGAUGGAUCAGAGGUGAGAGCGGCGAUGUAAUGAAGGAGGUUGUUGUGCGUUUGUGGAAGUGUUGGGUUGUUUGGAGAUAACGGUGGAUUCUAUUUGGGGAUUAGAGAAACCGUGGGUUUUGAAGAAUCCCCUCUUUAAAUCCGAUGGUGAAACGAGGUCGUUUUGAUGCUUUGAGAGCUUCUUGCAUCAAUUGAACCAUUUUAGCUGAACCCCUUUCUCAAAGCUACGUCGCACCAGGUCUAUAUGUAAACAUUGAUUUAAAUAUACCAAACCAUGAAUCUCGUUGCUUUUUAGAUAUCUGCUUCCACGAUGGUAUUUCCUCAGCCAAGUAAGUAAGUAUGAUUGAACUAGUUUCCUUCACUAUCAACGUAUGUUGAUCAAACCCAUCUCCUUCUGGAAGUAUAAGGAUUUUGUUCGAAGUUAAGUUGACUAUUGAAAAUUCUUUCCAUCGAAGGACUUGGGUAGGAAUGGUUUUAGAUAAGAUAGGGUGAGGUUUAGACCGAGGUUUCGCCGAUUGAGGUUGAGGUCGAUGUGGUGUGGGUGGAUUUAUGAGGGUUGUUGACUGAAGAUUUGUUGGGAGGAGAGGAAGACGGCGAGUGGUGGUCGGAGUUUGUCGCGACAGAGGGAGUAUGAUGAUGAGGUCCGGCGGAGGACAGAGGCGACGUGGAGAUGUUGACUCGUGGAGGGUGACCGACGAUGUGUGGCGUUGAAGAUGAUUGUUGACGGCGGUGGGGUUUGUGUUGGUGAGGUUUAUUGGAAGAGGGAAGUUUUAUGUGAUGUAGGGGAAGAAUAUAGUGAGAUUGGAUUUUUUGGGGUUGUUUGAUUUAUGGUGGUGCGUGGUGUUUCGUGCGGUGGAGGUUGGAAGAGGAAGUGAGAUGGUUCCGUUGAGGUGAAUGAGUUUGGUGAGUUUGGUGGAUCACGUGUUUAGAAGUUGAGAGAGGCGAGUGGUGAUGAUCCGUGCGAAGAAGAGGAACAAUCCUUAUCGGUUUUUAUGGUGGGUGAGGAGAAGGAGAAAGGAAAAGUUUUGUUUCUUUUUUAAUGUUCAGAGAGAGAGUGAUUAAGGAGAGAGUUUUUCUCUGUUGGUGUUCGUUCCCCACCCUCUUUAUUGGAUCCCUUUUCCUUUUUUUCUAUUUUUUUUAUUCUCUUUUCUUUUUACCGUUGGAGGAUGAGAGAGAAAAAGCCUCCCUCCUUUUGUUUCUUAUUCACGUGAAGAGAGAGGAAGACUUGUCAGCUAGGUAUCACUCACUAAGAAGAUAA
rnacentral:lncRNA from 1 species